UACGUAGGGGGCAAGCGUUGUCCGGAAUCAUUGGGCGUAAAGCGCGUGUAGGCGGUUCGAUAAGUCUGCUGUGAAAGUCCAGGGCUCAACCCUGGGAUGCCGGUGGAUACUGUCGGACUAGAGUACGGAAGAGGCGAGUGGAAUUCCGGGUGUAGCGGUGGAAUGCGUAGAGAUCCGGAAGAAUACCGGUGGCGAAGGCGGCCUGCUGGGCAGUGGCUGACACUGAGGCGCGACAGCGUGGGGAGCAAACAGG
rnacentral:rRNA from 1 species